AGCAGCCGCCGCGGUAAUACGUAGGUGGCAAGCGUUGUCCGGAAUUAUUGGGCGUAAAGGGCUCGCAGGCGGUUUCUUAAGUCUGAUGUGAAAGCCCCCGGCUCAACCGUGGAGGGUCAUUGGAAACUGGGAAACUUGAGUGCAGAAGAGGAGAGUGGAAUUCCACGUGUAGCGGUGAAAUGCGUAGAGAUGUGGAGGAACACCAGUGGCGAAGGCGACUCUCUGGUCUGUAACUGACGCUGAGGAGCGAAAGCGUGGGGAGCGAACAGGAUUAGAUACCCCUGUAGUCCCUGUCUCUUAUAA
rnacentral:rRNA from 1 species